rnacentral:lncRNA from 1 species
GCAGCUUAGAAGGAAUAGGAUCCAACACUUCCUGUAUGUUAAGGAUAUGCAUCUGGGCCCAUUAGAAUUCUCUCCUUGGGUUUGGAAGUGUGGAUUCUGUAUCUCUUUAAAAAACGUAAUAUUUGAUCUUGGGGACCCUGGGCAGCCGUUUUAUACUCAUGAACGGAGAGAGCGGCACCGCGCUAAGAAGGAGGUGGGAGAGUUGUAAUGAGCGUCUGGCGCUCUCUUCUCCCCUUCUAGCCCUCUGCUCCUGCACUUGGGCUUUGGGAUAAAGUCAUCCAUCUGCCCCUCUUUGUGACCAGAGCGAGUGAGUGGCUUUUUAAUGGAAAGACGACUUCAAGCAUCUCUGUAUCCAGACGCGGCUGCAAAAAGCAGGGCAAAGCAACAGACAAAAGGACAGAGGUGUAUACAAACGGUUGGGAAACUGGACCGUUCCUUUGUUCCUUUCUGGGAAGUUUACAGCAAGCAGAGCCCUGAGCGGAGACUAACCAAUGAUGAGCAUGAUAUGGCCACGGCCGGAAACGCCAGGAGCGCAUCUAUCCUUUCAAGAUCUAUGUCUGAAGUUUUGCUGAGUCUCUAAAAUCACCCCGUGCCUUGGAGAGAGGACUCAGCUUGGAAUGUGUAGCUGGCCUCAGAGCCUCAGUGGAGAUCACUUUGGGUGAGAUCCUGGCUCACUCUCCCGCUCUCUUCUUGUAACUAUCAGGGGUGGACCAAUCCCCAGCUAAAUGCUUUCCAUAGGAUUCAAACAGGAUGAGCACUGCCCUGGUGACAAGAAGAAUGCUAACACCGAUGGCGGCAGGCAAGAGGAAGGUUCAGUUCUUGUAGUUAGUAGAUUGAACACGUAAAUAAUCUUUU